UCAAUGAAGAAUAUUGGAAUUGUACCUGAUAGCCAGUUUUGCAACAUGCUUAUCCGCAGGAGAAGUUUUCGCAGAGAUACCAGUGCAGCUAAAGAAGUAUUAGACUUCAUGCAGGAACAUCACCUUGUGCCAGAUCUCAUAACCUUUGGCUGCCUGGCCUUAAGUUGUCACCGCUUGCAUGAUGCAAAAAAUUUUCUGAAGGACAUGGACUCUUUGGGCUUCAGGCCAAAUCUGGAGAUAG